UACGUAGGAGACAAGCGUUGUCCGGAAUUACUGGGUGUAAAGCGCGUGUAGGCGGUAAGCCAAGUCUGCUGUGAAAUCGCCCGGCUCAACUGGGCGCGGUCGGUGGAAACUGGUCAACUGGAGGACGGUAGAGGCAGGUGGAAUUCCGGGUGUAGCGGUGGAAUGCGUAGAGAUCCGGAAGAACACCGGUGGCGAAGGCGGCCUGCUGGGCUAUGGAUGACACUGAGGCGCGACAGCGUGGGGAGCAAACAGG
rnacentral:rRNA from 1 species